GAUACGCUGGCGGCGUGCUUACACCAUGCAGUCAGAACGAACUUCGGGUUAGUGGCGGACGGGUGAGUAACGCGUGAGAAUCUGCCCUCAGGAGGGGGACAACAGUUGGAAGCGACUGCUAAUACCCCAUAUGCCGCGAGGUGAAAUGAAUUUCGCCUGAGGAUGAGCUCGCGUCUGAUUAGCUAGUUGGUGUAGGUAAUGGCUCACCAAGGCAUCGAUCAGUAGCUGGUCUGAGAGGAUGAUCAGCCACACUGGGACUGAGACACGGCCAGACUCCUACGGGAGGCAGCAGUGGGGAAUUUUCCGCAAUGGGCGAAAGCCUGACGGAGCAACGCCGCGUGAGGGAUGAAGGCCUCUGGGCUGUAAACCUCUUUUAUCAAGGAAAGAAGAUCUUGACGGUACUUGAUAGAAUAAAGCCACGGCUAAUUCCGUGCCACCAGCCGCGGUAAUACGGGAGUGGCAACGCGUUAUCCGGAAUUAUUGGGCGUAAAAGCGUACAGCAGGCGGCCCUUCAAAGUCUGCUGUUUAAAAAGUGGAGCUUAACUCCACUCAUGGCACGUGGAAACUGUUGGGCUUGACUGUGGUAAGGGCACAAGGAAUUCCCGGGUGGUAUACCGGUGCAAAUGCG
rnacentral:rRNA from 1 species